rnacentral:piRNA from 1 species
GCAAAGUGCCGAACCUCUCUGUGUCC